UUUGAGGGGAAUGUUGUUUGGCUCGAAGACUGCUUAAAGUUACAAUCUUUCUUCAAAUUUUUCAUCAAAAUUUCUAGAAAAUUAAAUUUUGCCUUCGGACCAGGCUUCAUUCCCCUCAAU
rnacentral:pre_miRNA from 1 species